rnacentral:lncRNA from 1 species
AAAUAUGCAAGCUAAUGAAAUUUUAAAAAAUAUAGCCAAAAUCUAAAGUCAUUUAUGAUUUUAGCAAACUUUCUUUUUUUUUCUCUCCCAUUUUUUCAAACACACUAUUUUAUUUUAUUUGUACAAAUUAUAAAGCGUAUGAAAAAAUUUCCAACUCGAACGCGUUAAAUAAACCUCUCAAAAAUAUAAGAUAAUCGGUCCAAUAUUAUCCGUCACAUUUUAUUAAAAUGAAGUUAGACAACUCCCAAAAUGCAAUUUUCACCAUUUCUAUAACGUCGUCGAACUUGAACUUGUCAAUUAACACAUUUUAUUAACAGUAUUUAGUUCAAAGAUGCCUUUUUUUUUAUUUCUUUCUUUUUUCCUUUUUUGGGCCAAUGGAAAAAAAAAAGAAAAGAAAAGAAAAGGGUAUCAUAGAUAUUUUCGGCCAGUCAAAAGUCAAAACGGAGCUUUCAUAGGUACUAUAAUACAAUAGACCCUCCAACAAGCGAUUACUUGUUUGUGAUUGAUUUGAUUAGGGACUGCGGGUAGGGAAGGGCGGUUAACUUUCGGACGUGGAAGCAUCUAAGAGGAUCAAAUUUUCAGGAAUCAAAACGAAAGACAAGCGGUUAAUCCGGAGCUUCUAAUUGAAACACUGGGGUCGUUUCUGAUCUAAAUGGGCCCCACCUUCAGCCCAUAGCCGUGACAGGGGAUCUUGGCUUUAUUUGAUAAAAUCCACUGUAUGCGUCCAGGGCACGUGGGCUCUUUUUCUACGUUCUUGACCACUUCAAGGUGCCCCUUCAAGUUAAGGGCCUCCCGGGCAGAUGCCCCUCCAUAGGUCAUAUCACAUGUGGACCGUCCUUAUCUAACCGGCACUGCUAUUGUCCCCUUGUUUGUUCUGUUUGCUUCCGUCACAGACACACCCGCUACGUGGGAGUGUGUCUGUCUGUAUGUGCCGGUGCCCUCCAAAUGAGUGGUUCGUUGAACAAACCAUAGAUCGUAAUUAAGCAAAUUAAUUAUAUGAUUGCAUAAAUAUUACAAAGCGAAAUGAAUAUUAUUGAAUCCGAAAAUUUAUACAUUAAUAUGGUUGACUUUUUUUUUAAUUUUAAUAAUCUCGAAUGUUUUACUUUUACAUAAAUUUAGCUUUUUUUUUUCUUUUUUAAUAUGUAUGAAGACCGUACAUAUCCCACAUGAUUUAAAAAAUGUUGCACUACUCCAACUAUUAAAAACACCUCCAUUUAAACUUCGUUAUUUCCACAUUUCUAUUUAUGCACCAUCCCAAUACAAUUUUCUUUGUAUUUUUUAUUUCUUUUUCAUUAAGGGAAAAAAAUUAUGUUAUAUCACUCAACUAAUUGUUUAACCAACGGUGGUAGUGAAAAAAAAAAAAACAGGUAAGGUUAUAUUUUCAAUUUGUGCAAACAUUUAUAACCAUAACAUUACUCAAAAUAUAAUAGUCAAGUAUUACACUCAUUACGUUUUUCAAUAACAAUAAUAAUAAUAAUAUACUUAUUUAAUUGAAAUACUUAGUUUAUAUUCCAACUGAUGUAAUAAAUAAUGUACCACUAUUUGAUUGACUUAAGUAAUAGUUUAUAAUUAACUAUUAUUAUUUCUAAUUUAAAUGAUAAAUGACACAUCAAUUAAGAUGCAAAGUUUGCAUUCCAACUAAAUAAACAUAGCAUUAUCUACAUGGUCAUAAUUCUAAAAAAAAAUAAUAAUUAAUUAUUAUCUCUCUUAAUUUUUUUACGAUGCUUUAUUUAUUUUUUUAAUAGACAAAAAUAAUGUUAAGUCAGACCCAAUCUAUCCUAUUCACAAUUAAAUGAGUAGACCCAAUCUAUCCUAUUCACAAUUAAAUGAGUAGGUCAGAUAGAAUGUAACAUUAUUUUUGUAAGCAUUUUCUCUAAUUUCUUUUUCGCAAUAGUAUUUUUUCAAGUAAAAUUAAAAAAAAAAAUCAAAUGUGGACCAUUUCUCAAUCGAACUUAAACCAACAAAACGUGAAAAAAAAGAAAGAAAAGAAAAUUGUUUUUACGUUCUUAUCAUUCUAUCCACGUUAGCAUUAACUUUUUAUUCUUUUUAAUAUACCAAUAAAUAUUUUUGCAUGAUUCGAUUUCCAAAAUUGGCAUAUCAAAUCAAGCAGAGGGCUCAAAAGAAAACAACGACCAUAUCAAUUAUUUGCUCUAAUUCGAUGAUAUUUUCACGUGUUGUUACUAUUAUUAUUAUUAUUACUUAUUUUUUUGCAUGAAGAUAAAGCUUAUCUUCUGAACACGUGUCACCAGAUGCGGCAUUCGAUCAAAACUUUUUUUUUUCAAUUACAAAAUGAUAUCAUUUUAAAUUGGAAAUUGCAAUCAAAUUGAUGUGGGUUUGGGCUCGUCGUAUUUUAAAAUAGUUUAUGAAAUAAUUAUUUUAAAAAAAAAUCAUAUGGUGAAGGUAAAUUUUGACAUCUAUUUAGAGAUGGUAAAAUUCUCCACGGGUUUGGUAUAAAUGGAGUCACACCCCAAAUAGAGAAAAUUUUUAAUAAUUUUUGGGAAAUUGGGUGGGGAGUAUGGGAAAAAUAAUCCCCAAAUGAUUAACGAGGUGGGAUUUGGUAUUGCACUCCCCACCCCACCUCCAACUCAAUCUCCAUUAUAUAUAAAUAUGUUUUUAAUUCUUAUUUAAUAAUUUUUAGUUUAUCAACUAUAAU